AUGUCAUGUAUCACAUCGGUGAGGUAUUCUAUCAAACUUAAUGGGACCCCCUUGGAUUCAUUUGCACCGACGCGUGGGCUUCGGCAAGGUGACCCCCUUUCACCUUUUCUUUUCUUGUUCGUGGCUGAUGGACUAUCUGCUAUUCUAAAGCAUGGUGUAGCCACCGGGAGUAUUACUCUGAUAAGGGUGUGUAGAAGAGCUCCGGGGAUUUCUCAUUUGCUAUUCGCAGAUGAUACUAUAUUAUUUUUUGAGGCCUCGCGUUUACAAGCUGAAAGAAUUAAAGUCGCAUUGGAACUAUAUGGUGCUGCCACUGGUCAAAGUCUGAAUUAUGAUAAAUGUUCUAUGUUGUUUGGUGAGUCUUGCCCGCUGGAUGUGAAAGAGCAAGUAAGGGUUGUGCUGGGGGUCACGAGUGAAUCUUUUGAGGAAAAAUACUUGGGGCUCCCAACACCGGAGGGACGAAUGUCAAAAGGACGUUUCCAGAGUUUACAAAUGAGUAUGACAAAGAGACUAAUUCAGUGGGGCGAUGGUAUUUUGGCUCAACCAGGCCGUGAAGUCCUUGUUAAAUUGGUAGCCCAAGCGCUACCUACAUACAUCAUGGGAGUUUUUAAGUUACCGUUCUCUGUAUGUGAUGACCUAACUAGAAUGGUUAGAAAUUUUUAUUGGGGUGCAACUCAAGGUAAAAGGAAAGCUCAUUGGAGAAGUUGGGAUAAGUUGCUGCAACCAAAGAAUAAGGGUGGUGCUGGAUUCCGGGACUUCCGUUUGUUUAACCAAGCUUUACUAGCCCGACAAGCUUGGAGAUUAAUCUCUUAA
rnacentral:rRNA from 1 species